AGAGUUUGAUCAUGGCUCAGGACGAACGCUGGCGGCGUGCUUAAUACAUGCAAGUCGAGCGAGGUUACUGUUUUGGAUCCCUUCGGGGUGAAGAAGCUUUAACCUAGCGGCGGACGGGUGAGUAACGCGUGGGUAACCUACCCCAAAGUCCAGGAUAACAGCGGGAAACCGCUGCUAAUACCGGAUGCCUUUACCUUGGGGCAUCUUGAGGUAAAGAAAGGCAACGCUUUGGGAUGGGCCCGCGUCCCAUUAGCUAGUUGGUGAGGUAACGGCUCACCAAGGCGACGAUGGGUAGCCGGCUUGAGAGGGUGGACGGCCACACUGGGACUGGGACACGGCCCAGACUCCUACGGGAGGCAGCAGUAGGGAAUAUUGCGCAAUGGACGGAAGUCUGACGCAGCGACGCCGCGUGAGCGAUGAAGGUCUUCGGAUCGUAAAGCUCUGUCCUUGGGGAAGAAGGUCUUCGGACUUGACGGUACCCAAGAAGAAAGCCCCGGCUAACUACGUGCCAGCAGCCGCGGUAAUACGUAGGGGGCGAGCGUUGUCCGGAAUUACUGGGCGUAAAGGGUGCGUAGGCGGCCCUUUAAGUCGGAUGUGAAAGCCCGCGGCUUAACCGCGGAAUGGCAUUCGAAACUGGAGGGCUUGAGUGUCGGAGAGGGUAGUGGAAUUCCCAGUGUAGCGGUGAAAUGCGUAGAUAUUGGGAGGAACACCAGUGGCGAAGGCGACUACCUGGACGAUAACUGACGCUGAGGCACGAAAGCUAGGGGAGCAAACAGGAUUAGAUACCCUGGUAGUCCUAGCCGUAAACGAUGGGUACUAGGUGUGGGUGGUUUCGAUACCAUCCGUGCCGUAGUUAACGCAUUAAGUACCCCGCCUGGGGAGUACGUGCGCAAGCAUGAAACUCAAAGGAAUUGACGG
rnacentral:rRNA from 1 species